rnacentral:rRNA from 1 species
GACGUAGGGCGCGAGCGUUGUCCGGAAUUACUGGGCGUAAAGGGCUGGUAGGCGGCCAACUAAGUCGGAUGUGAAAUCCCCAGGCUUAACCUGGGAACUGCAUCCGAUACUGGUCGGCUUGAAUCCGGGAGAGGGAUGCAGAAUUCCAGGUGUAGCGGUGAAAUGCGUAGAUAUCUGGAGGAAUACCGGUGGCGAAGGCGGCAUCCUGGACCGGCAUUGACGCUGAACAGCGAAAGCUAGGGGAGCAAACGGG